rnacentral:rRNA from 1 species
UACGAAGGGGGCUAGCGUUGCUCGGAAUCACUGGGCGUAAAGGGUGCGUAGGCGGGUCUUUAAGUCAGGGGUGAAAUCCUGGAGCUCAACUCCAGAACUGCCUUUGAGUACUGAAGAUCUUGAGUUCGGGAGAGGUGAGUGGAACUGCGAGUGUAGAGGUGAAAUUCGUAGAUAUUCGCAAGAACACCAGUGGCGAAGGCGGCUCACUGGCCCGAUACUGACGCUGAGGCACGAAAGCGUGGGGAGCAA